AGUGAACGCUGGCGGUAGGCCUAACACAUGCAAGUCGAACGGCAGCACAGUAAGAGCUUGCUCUUACGGGUGGCGAGUGGCGGACGGGUGAGGAAUACAUCGGAAUCUACUUUUUCGUGGGGGAUAACGUAGGGAAACUUACGCUAAUACCGCAUACGACCUACGGGUGAAAGCAGGGGAUCUUCUGACCUUGCGCGAUUGAAUGAGCCGAUGUCGGAUUAGCUAGUUGGCGGGGUAAAGGCCCACCAAGGCGACGAUCCGUAGCUGGUCUGAGAGGAUGAUCAGCCACACUGGAACUGAGACACGGUCCAGACUCCUACGGGAGGCAGCAGUGGGGAAUAUUGGACAAUGGGCGAAAGCCUGAUCCAGCCAUACCGCGUGGGUGAAGAAGGCCUUCGGGUUGUAAAGCCCUUUUGUUGGGAAAGAAAAGCAGCAGGUUAAUACCCCGCUGUUCUGACGGUACCCAAAGAAUAAGCACCGGCUAACUUCGUG
rnacentral:rRNA from 1 species